GGAGAAGUUUCACAGUGGGAGAGCUCUGAAAAAUUUAACAAUCUGUAGCAAAGACAAGUCCUUGAGCAGAGAACUGAUGACCAUGGUAGAGUGGAGGCUGAGGGUCUGGAAAGAGAGGA